rnacentral:tRNA from 1 species
GCGGAUAUAGCUCAGGUGGUAGAGCAUCGGCUUCCCAAGCCGAGGGUCGCGGGUUCGAAUCCCGUUAUCCGCUCCA